rnacentral:lncRNA from 1 species
UCGGUUCCACUCUGUCUACUAUAAGCUGAGCAGAGAUGUUUCAUGACUAAAGCAUAAAUCUGUUAGUGUGGCAGGAUUAGGGUUAGUGAUCGUGCAACAGGACCGAUGACUCAAAUCAUCUAAAUCAGGGGUCUGCAACCUUUAACAAUAAAAAAGCCAAUUGGUCCAGUUUCAGAAAAACAAAUUCAUCUAUUAAAUGUAGCAUGUAAAUAUUUUCAACAAUUAGUGAUACAUUAAAAUAUUGAUUAAGCCAUGUUUUUGUAUAUACAGUAUAACAAAUUGAUCUUUUAUUUUUUCAGCACAUCAAAUUCUUUUCAAAACGUGUGUCAGCAAAUAUCCUCCUACUGCAGAAGGUUUAUAAAAAUAAAUUUCUCCUUUACCGUCAAAUAUAUACAUAAUAACAUUGACAUAUAAUUUGGAGCCUCUGGUUUCAGACACCCGAUCUAAAUUAAGUUAGUCACUUUCAGUCACCUAAAGUGAAGAUCUCUUUUGGACUUAAUUUUUUGUGAAGAUUUUCGUAGCACCUUUGAAGUUUUCUAAAUGAUUUGCAAAAUGCUUACAUAUGUGAACUUGCAAAGUUCUUGCAUGGCAGAUAUUAUGGUAGUCAUAAAGUGUGAUAGGAUAGUUAUGGGUGUCAGGGAUUGUGGUGGAGGACCCAAAUGCAGGAGACCAGACUUGAUGACAGAAACAUAAACGUUUACUAACUCAAUUUAAACAGGGCAAAACUAGGAGCACAAACCAGUGACACGCCAGAACAUAGAUGAGCAGAUGACCUGACAAUGAAAAACUGAAAACCAGACACUUAAAUACACUGAGGUUGAUUAACUAAAUGAAGACAGCUGUGGAUGAUUAACCUGAAUGUGGUGAGACUGACAGAAAACAGAACAUGACAAAACCAAAGCACUGAAUCAUGACAAUGGGUCAUUUAUGGUGCUUCACAGAAUGUGGAGAUCACAGCAAAGAUGCUUCCCAUCCCCUUGUUUAGAUGUGCCAAAACUCCUGCUGGAAUACGUAGAAAUAACAGAGGGAGAGUUCCUGGACGUGGGCUGCACAGUUCCCAUUGACUACAGGGGAGGGGAAUGUCGCUUAUUCAGAGGAGACUCUGAUUACCCCUUUGUCACGGUGACAGCUCAGAGUUAUUCCUGCAAUUUCCACGUGGGAUCAAACCAGCUGCUGGGACACAGGCCUGUGGGGAGCAAGAUCUCCAUCAGGUGUGACUACAAGAUUCAGAACUUCAUCUCGAAGUCCAGCGACAGCAGAAAUAUCAUCGUCUGGGGAACCAAACCCAGUCCCAAACUAUCAGUCAGCCGCCACUUCAGCCCACUAGAUGACAGCAUUGAGGUCACCUGCUCCCCUCCGGUGACCCCUGUCUCCCGUUGUUACUUUUACAAAGACGGGUUCCAGUUUUGGGGAGAAUCUUGCAGCAGGAACUUGACCGGCCAGGAGCUGGCCGUCUACCAAAAGCCUGAUCUCUUCUUCCAGUCAACCUGA